rnacentral:misc_RNA from 1 species
GGAACAACUAAUCAGCGUCGAGGUGUAUUUUAAUACAUUUAGGGUGAUAGUUCAGGUAGGAAAAGGGAACAAUUGAUAAUUUGGGUGUGAAACUCGUGAAAAAGUGUUAGUUCAGGCGUGGUUUUGCUAUUGACUCUAAAAUUUAUUGAACCACUAAAACAACAGUAUAUUUAAACUAAUAACAUAAUACAACACAAUACCAUAGGUAACAAUCAUCCAACUAGCUAUUUAGAGGAAAGUUCGCCAGACAUUACUAACUUUGGAAUGGAAUGAACCAUCAAUAAAUCUUUUGCCCUAAAUAAAGUCUAGCAAUGACAAGAAAUAGGAAUUUUCCAGAAAAGAGUUUUUAUAAGAUCUAUUUAGUAUAGAAUCGGUCUCCUUUUACCUUAACUGCUUUGCUCAAGUUUCUUACCUCUAAUUCACUUUCCCUGUAUUCACAUAUUAAGAGUUUAAAGAUUCAGGAUCAAUAUGUUCUCCAACUCAAAAU